rnacentral:tRNA from 1 species
GCCUGGCUGGCUUGGUCGGUAGAGCACGCAACUUUUGAUCUCAGGGUCAUGAGUUCGAGUCCCAUGUUGGGUG